GACGAACGCUGGCGGCGUGCUUAACACAUGCAAGUCGAACGGAAAGGCCCUGCUUUUGUGGGGUGCUCGAGUGGCGAACGGGUGAGUAACACGUGAGUAACCUGCCCUUGACUUUGGGAUAACUUCAGGAAACUGGGGCUAAUACCGGAUAGGAGCUCCUGCUGCAUGGUGGGGGUUGGAAAGUUUCGGCGGUUGGGGAUGGACUCGCGGCUUGUCAGCUUGUUGGUGGGGUAGUGGCUUACCAAGGCUUUGACGGGUAGCCGGCCUGAGAGGGUGACCGGCCACAUUGGGACUGAGAUACGGCCCAGACUCCUACGGGAGGCAGCAGUGGGGAAUAUUGCACAAUGGGCGGAAGCCUGAUGCAGCAACGCCGCGUGCGGGAUGACGGCCUUAGGGUUGUAAACCGCUUUCGCCUGUGACGAAGCGUGAGUGACGGUAAUGGGUAAAGAAGCACCGGCUAACUACGUGCCAGCAGCCGCGGUGAUACGUAGGGUGCGAGCGUUGUCCGGAUUUAUUGGGCGUAAAGGGCUCGUAGGUGGUUGAUCGCGUCGGAAGUGUAAUCUUGGGGCUUAACCCUGAGCGUGCUUUCGAUACGGGUUGACUUGAGGAAGGUAGGGGAGAAUGGAAUUCCUGGUGGAGCGGUGGAAUGCGCAGAUAUCAGGAGGAACACCAGUGGCGAAGGCGGUUCUCUGGGCCUUUCCUGACGCUGAGGAGCGAAAGCGUGGGGAGCGAACAGGCUUAGAUACCCUGGUAGUCCACGCUGUAAACGGUGGGUACUAGGUGUGGGGUCCAUUCCACGGGUUCCGUGCCGUAGCUAACGCUUUAAGUACCCCGCCUGGGGAGUACGGCCGCAAGGCUAAAACUCAAAGGAAUUGACGGGGCCCCGCACAAGCGGCGGAGCAUGCGGAUUAAUUCGAUGCAACGCGUAGAACCUUACCUGGGUUUGACAUGGAUCGGGAGCGCUCAGAGAUGGGUGUGCCUCUUUUGGGGUCGGUUCACAGGUGGUGCAUGGCUGUCGUCAGCUCGUGUCGUGAGAUGUUGGGUUAAGUCCCGCAACGAGCGCAACCCUUGUUCACUGUUGCCAGCACGUUAUGGUGGGGACUCAGUGGAGACCGCCGGGGUCAACUCGGAGGAAGGUGGGGAUGACGUCAAGUCAUCAUGCCCCUUAUGUCCAGGGCUUCACGCAUGCUACAAUGGCUGGUACAGAGAGUGGCGAGCCUGUGAGGGUGAGCGAAUCUCGGAAAGCCGGUCUCAGUUCGGAUUGGGGUCUGCAACUCGACCUCAUGAAGUCGGAGUCGCUAGUAAUCGCAGAUCAGCAACGCUGCGGUGAAUACGUUCCCGGGGCUUGUACACACCGCCCGUCAGGUCAUGAAAGUUGGUAACACCCGAAGCCGGUGGCCUAACCGUUGUGGGGGAGCCGUCGAAGGUGGGACUGGUGAUUAGGACUAAGUCGUAACAAGGUAGCCGUACCGGAAGG
rnacentral:rRNA from 1 species